rnacentral:rRNA from 1 species
GUGAGGAAUAUUGGUCAAUGGACGGAAGUCUGAACCAGCCAUGCCGCGUGCAGGAAUAAGGUCCUAUGGAUUGUAAACUGCUUUUAUUCGGGAAUAAACCUCUUUACGUGUAGGGAGCUGAAGGUACCGAAGGAAUAAGCACCGGCUAACUCCGUGCCAGCAGCCGCGGUAAUACGGAGGGUGCAAGCGUUAUCCGGAAUCAUUGGGUUUAAAGGGUCCGCAGGCGGGCUAUCAAUUCAGAGGUGAAAUCCCACAGCUUAACUGUGGAACUGCCUUUGAAACUGAUGGUCUUGAAUUAAGUGGGCGUUGGCGGAAUAUGACAUGUAGCGGUGAAAUGCAUAGAUAUGUCAUGGAACACCGAAAGCGAAGGCAGCUAACGAUACUUAUAUUGACGCUCAUGGACGAAAGCGUGGGUAGCGAACAGGAUUAGAAACCCGUGUAGUCC